GUUCAGCUACAAGGGCAUAGUUAAUGAGCAGCAUUACUCGAUGCCAGAGUAACUUGCUGAGCAAAUUCAAAUUGCGCUCUUGCGAGAACUCUGGUUUUCCAAGGUAGGAGGCUUGAGGA